rnacentral:tRNA from 1 species
CAGGGAGACAUCACUGAUUUUGAUGCCUGAAUAAUUUAUUUUUAGGCCAUAAUCCUGUCACCUUAGGUCGAUCGGUACCUCAGUUUAUUUUUCAAAAACAAAUACAUUUGUUUUUAGAAUUUUGAAUUCAGUUCCUAAACUUUGUCUAGGUCACACCCAGCAAGGGUACUCCUGGGCCAUUAGCUCAGGCGGUUAGAGCGCACCCCUGAUAAGGGUGAGGUCCCUGGUUCAAGUCCAGGAUGGCCCAUUCGGUGUUGGGGGUAUAGCUCAGUUGGUAGAGCGCCUGCUUUGCAAGCAGGAUGUCAGCGGUUCGAGUCCGCUUACCUCCACUGAACCAACUCCUGAUUACGAAGCCUAAGGAGAUAUAUGUUGCUGUGAUCUAGCAUUUGUUCUUUAUGUAUGAACCUAGCUUCUUGUCAUUCCUCAAAAAAAUUUUGUAUGGCUGAUAGGACGCUGGGCUCACUGCAAUUCACAUUGCAGAGACGUUCAGUAGAACCUUGACAACUGCAUAGGUGAGUCUGGAAAGAAUAAAGCAUCUCAUGGAUGCAUUAUUCUUCUGAGUCAAUUAUUUUGUUUACUGAUUAACUCAGUAAACAAAUAGAUUGAUUUGAAAUGAUAAUGUUUGAUUCUUGAGCAAAAAAAAGAGCCGAGACUCUAAAUACGUUCUUUCAUUGUAUUUCAAUGAGAGUUAGAUUUUUGAUUUAUUUUUUGAGUUUAAAUUUUACGGUUUAAAUUCAAAAAUAACAAUAAAUUAAAGAGAAAAGUGCUAACAACACAGACGUUUUAGAGGUUAAU